CAGAGGUCCCGAGCGUUGUUCGGAUUUAUUGGGCGUAAAGGGUGCGUAGGCGGCGGAGUAAGUUGGGUGUGAAAUCCCGGGGCUUAACCUCGGAAUGGCAUUCAAUACUGCUUCGCUAGAGUACUGGAGAGGAGGCUGGAAUUUACGGUGUAGCAGUGAAAUGCGUAGAUAUCGUAAGGAAGGCCGGUGGCGAAAGCGAGCCUCUGGACAGUUACUGACGCUGAUGCACGAAGGCCAGGGGAGCAAACGGGAUUAGAUACCCCGGUAGUCCUGGCAGUAAACGGUGCGCGUUUGGUGUGGGGGGAUUCGACAAUCUCCGCGCCGGAGCUAACGCGUUAAACGCGCCGCCUGGGAAUACGGUCGCAAGAUUA
rnacentral:rRNA from 1 species